AAUUGAUGGUACACGCGCACAGAAGCGUUCGAUCAUUUGCCCUAGAUCUCGGGGAUAUAAUUGUUGAAAAAUCCAUGGCACUUGUCUUCGCAGUAUAGACUAGAGGUGAAGGGUUUAGUAAGGAGUCUUUUUGAUUGUUUGUCUGCGCUGCUGCUUUCCUGCUUAAAACUUUAUCAGUGUCGGGCCUUAUCCAUGGCGUCUUCAUUUGUGUUUCUAUCAAAACCCUUAUUGCUUAACAAAACUAAUUCCCCUUCUCUCUCUCAGCAGAGGCUUGUAGGAUUGAGGAGAAAUUCUCUCAGAAUCAAUGCAAUUGCCAAAAAA
rnacentral:misc_RNA from 1 species